UGUUACUGUUGAAACCGAAGUAGUUGCAGUUGCUGGAAAAGAAGCUAUGCUGCAAAGUGAGAAGAAUGUAAUUGAUGGGGUGAUGUGGUUUAGGAGCCCUGAUGAUGUGGGAGGAGAAGCUAUAGUGGGCUUAAGUUUAGCAGUUGUUGAGAGAAUGAAGUGGGAGCAAGAGAGGUUUGGGUGGAUUGGUGUUAAGGAGAGGCAAGUGAGGGUGAAGAGAGUGGAGGAAUUUGGAGGCAGGGGAGGUUGGAGGAGAUUUGGUUGCUAUGUUUUGGUUGAGAGAUUUGCAUUGAAGAGAAUGGAUGGAAGCUUGUUGCUGACCUAUGAUUUCAAGCAUACUCAACAUAUCAUGAGCAAAUGGGAGUAAGCUUAGAUUUUGUCUGUUUUGCCCUACAUAUAUAUAAAUGUAAAUUUAUCUUUAUAACUUAAAAAAUUCCAUAUAUAAGAUUGCAAAAUACAUCAUCUUUUAGUGCUUCAGGGAAC
rnacentral:misc_RNA from 1 species